rnacentral:rRNA from 1 species
AGUGAACGCUGGCGGUAGGCCUAACACAUGCAAGUCGAACGGCAGCACAGUAAGAGCUUGCUCUUACGGGUGGCGAGUGGCGGACGGGUGAGGAAUACAGCGGAAUCUACUUUUUCGUGGGGGAUAACGUAGGGAAACUUACGCUAAUACCGCAUACGACCUACGGGUGAAAGCAGGGGAUCUUCGGACCUUGCGCGAUUGAAUGAGCCGAUGUCGGAUUAGCUAGUUGGCGGGGUAAAGGCCCACCAAGGCGACGAUCCGUAGCUGGUCUGAGAGGAUGAUCCGCCACACUGGAGCUGAGACACGGCCCCGACUCCUACGGGAGGCAGCAGUGGGGAAUAUUGGACACUGGGCGCAAGCCUGAUCCAGCCAUACCGCGUGGGUGAAGAAGGCCUUCGGGUUGUAAAGCCCUUUUGUUGGGAAAGAAAAGCAGCAGGUUAAGACCCCGCUGUUCUGACGGUACCCAAAGAAUAAGCACCGGCUAACUUCGU